rnacentral:rRNA from 1 species
UGGCGAACGGGUGAGUAACACGUGAGCAACCUGCCCUGGACUCUGGGAUAAGCGCUGGAAACGGCGUCUAAUACUGGAUAUGAGACGUGAUCGCAUGGUCGUGUUUGGAAAGAUUUUUCGGUCUGGGAUGGGCUCGCGGCCUAUCAGCUUGUUGGUGAGGUAAUGGCUCACCAAGGCGUCGACGGGUAGCCGGCCUGAGAGGGUGACCGGCCACACUGGGACUGAGACACGGCCCAGACUCCUACGGGAGGCAGCAGUGGGGAAUAUUGCACAAUGGGCGGAAGCCUGAUGCAGCAACGCCGCGUGAGGGAUGACGGCCUUCGGGUUGUAAACCUCUUUUAGCAGGGAAGAAGCGAAAGUGACGGUACCUGCAGAAAAAGCGCCGGCUAACUACGUGCCAGCAGCCGCGGUAAUACGUAGGGCGCAAGCGUUAUCCGGAAUUAUUGGGCGUAAAGAGCUCGUAGGCGGUUUGUCGCGUCUGCUGUGAAAUCCCGAGGCUCAACCUCGGGCCUGCAGUGGGUACGGGCAGACUAGAGUGCGGUAGGGGAGAUUGGAAUUCCUGGUGUAGCGGUGGAAUGCGCAGAUAUCAGGAGGAACACCGAUGGCGAAGGCAGAUCUCUGGGCCGUAACUGACGCUGAGGAGCGAAAGGGUGGGGAGCAAACAGGCUUAGAUACCCUGGUAGUCCACCCCGUAAACGUUGGGAACUAGUUGUGGGGACCAUUCCACGGUUUCCGUGACGCAGCUAACGCAUUAAGUUCCCCGCCUGGGGAGUACGGCCGCAAGGCUAAAACUCAAAGGAAUUGACGGGGACCCGCACAAGCGGCGGAGCAUGCGGAUUAAUUCGAUGCAACGCGAAGAACCUUACCAAGGCUUGACAUAUACGAGAACGGGCCAGAAAUGGUCAACUCUUUGGACACUCGUAAACAGGUGGUGCAUGGUUGUCGUCAGCUCGUGUCGUGAGAUGUUGGGUUAAGUCCCGCAACGAGCGCAACCCUCGUUCUAUGUUGCCAGCACGUAAUGGUGGGAACUCAUGGGAUACUGCCGGGGUCAACUCGGAGGAAGGUGGGGAUGACGUCAAAUCAUCAUGCCCCUUAUGUCUUGGGCUUCACGCAUGCUACAAUGGCCGGUACAAAGGGCUGCAAUACCGUGAGGUGGAGCGAAUCCCAAAAAGCCGGUCCCAGUUCGGAUUGAGGUCUGCAACUCGACCUCAUGAAGUCGGAGUCGCUAGUAAUCGCAGAUCAGCAACGCUGCGGUGAAUACGUUCCCGGGUCUUGUACACACCGCCCGUCAAGUCAUGAAAGUCGGUAAC